ACACAACGACAUGGUGUGAGAAAGGCCUCGUUGGUGGUUGAUGGGCAUCAGCCCAUGGAAUCAAGGAAACCCUGGGGUUAGGGGCACUAGUGUAGGAAGGCCAUACUGUCCCCACCCAUCGCAAAGGGUUCUGCUCAGAGCCCCUUUGACCAUGGCCUGUCAGAAUGACCUUUUUCUAUUCUGUAUACAGUAUGGGGGCACUGUGUCUUUGUAGAACUCCCGUCUUUGUCCUGCUGUAGGGUAAUACUGUGUGGAGCUCACCCAUCCAUUGGAUAGUGACCAGGGUAACCAAGCUAACAAUGCCAUGGUUGAGCAAAGCCACAAGCAGUGUCUUCACAGAAGGCACUCAGCUUUUCCAGAUGCUUCUGAGAAGAUGAGACAAGUGGGGACUGGCACCUUCAAGGAGACAAGCAAGGCCACCUGAGGGUGCUUUGUGCCCAAGCCGAGCAGCCCCAUCGCUGGAUUUGUCAGUGGGUCACCUACUGCGCUUCUCGGAAGGCAUGGCAGCUGUUGAGUACAGCUCUCCGUCAUCUCACGCACCGUCAUCAGGAUUAAGCAGCAAGAACAUUUUCAGAGACUGACUUUGAGAAUAAGCAAUUGUGCACAAGAGUAAAUAUUGAAUCCUGGCAGCCUGUUAGCAAAGACUUAAAAAUGAACCGCAAAUCUAAUUUCCUAAGCCUGUUCAGAUUGUAGCUUUGUCAUUACUAAGUCCCUCAGUUUGAAUUAUGAAAUACGCCUGAACCAUUGAAUAUUCAGAUUAUAAUCUUAGCAGAGGUGAAUAUAGCUGCCAAUGCUGUGUUUAAACCUCAUAUAUAACAGGACGCACACACACGGCAUCUGGAUCCUCUGCUGAGCGUCGAUUAAAAUGUUCAUUUGUGGAAGGCUGAUGAUUUUGCUUAACUUUUUUAUUCUCUUUUGUAAAUUAAGAAACCAGUAAGAGUAGGACUUUAUUCUAUCAAUGGGUUUGCUCCAUGUCACAGAUUUCAUGUACAGGGUCACUUGGAAUAGAAUGUGUAGAGAAAGAAUCUCAUUAGGCUAAAAUGAGUGUAAAAUGUGUCAAUUUGAUCCAAAUGAGAAUUGUAGUAAAACCAUGUUUGAUGUUCAUGUGCAAUAAAUCUUUAACAUUUGCUGUGAA